CAAUGAAGAAAACAAAGUAAAAGAUCUGCUCUUAAAUAAGUACAAGUAUAACUGCUGGUGCUGUAGUGCAAUCUGUGCUUUGUAUUCACCUGAAGUCGCUGCCUUUUAGCAUUAAACGUGGGCGAGUGCCACAAGUGGGCAAUACAGAAGUGAAUUGAAGAGACCUGAGUAAGGGGCCUCCUGAAGUGCUGUCGGAGGGGCACCCUCUUCUUCAUCAUCUGUGUCUUUGUCACGUCUACUCUGUUAGCAGACAAAGCUUUGUGUGUCAUCUGGAGGGCAGUGGCACCGUGUCCUACUAGUAACACGUGGUGUGGUGGCACUAAGGUACAUCUGCUCCAUCUGUAGUCUAGGUUAUUAGUAAAGACAUUCAUGCAAUAUUGACUGGCAGUACCACAGCAGGUGGAAUUGUGUCUGCCAUUUGAGAAGUCUUAUCUUUCUUCAUAAAACUGAUUUUUUAUUUGUAUCUUCACCUGCUAAUCUGUAGCUGUCAUCAGAAUGUGUCUUGUUCUCUUAUAAAUGUUGUCUCUUUCCAUGUAAAGUUGCAGCCAUUAACCUUAAUGUCCUAAUUUACGACUUUGUCAUUUGUGACAGACGUGAUCAGUUCCUCGUGACUCUGAUUCCUUGGGUUUUGAGAGCUCAGUGCUUGAAGUUUGCUCUUUGGUUGAAUUUUCGUGUAUCAGGGCGCUGGAACUCACCCCUCACUCGACUAAUAUGUCAUUUAAUAGUAAUGAUGUCAGGCAAAGAGGAGAAAGACGCUGACUAAGCAGUAAUCUGGAUGCACUUUGAGCACUGGAGAAGCUUAAGCUAAAGGAGUUUUUUCACAUGUAAUGUAUAGUUCUUUACGGUCUGAUAAAUAUUAAUAUAUUUUUCCAUGUUCAGGUUUAAGGUUUUAUGAAUGUCAAAUCCUGGAAAGCUGUCCUCUAGGAGCCUGCAGCUUUGGUUCUGAAGUCAGCAAUUAUCAUCCUGUGAGGAACAUAUGAACGGGUACAAAUGGAGCACAUUUGGAGAACACUCUCUUUUUUUGUCUUUUUAUUACCAGCAGUUCAUGUCCAAGCCGUGGAUUCUUGAUUUGUCCUCAAUCGUCUCCUGGUUUGGGUGUAUGGACUGUCUGGUGUCUUCCUGCUGCAUGAGGACUGUCUGAGGAUUUGUUGUCGUCCUGUGAAGAAAGGAGCGCACCUGAUCCCAUUCACAUGUCAUCAUCUCAUCAGGAAAUACCGGUAGGACUGGCUUUGACAUUCACAUACAGCGAGCCGAUCUCGGGACUUUCUACCACUAUCAUUUCAUUCCAUCAGUUGCCGUUUUCAUGGACUUUAUCGCGUGUGGUUUUUGUUAGUAAUUUGUGGUUGCAUAAUUUGUAUUUAUUGCAUAAUCGCUGGAAGGGAACUGAGUUGUGAUUGUUGUA